rnacentral:rRNA from 1 species
AUGGCUGGGAGGACCACUUGGGUCAAGUCGGUUAUCACUUCACAGGCCAUCCACCACCUCACUUCGCUUGUGGUGCCAAAAGGAACAAUGACUUCCAUUAUCAAGCUGCAACGGGCUUUCCUAUGGGGAGGCACAGACAAGGUUUCCGGGGGAAAAUGCAAGAUAAAAUGGGAAAAGGUUUGUACACCCAAGGAUAUGGGAGGCCUUGUCAUCCUGGACAUGGACAAAUUCACUCGUGCCUUGCGGCUCAGAUGGCCUUGGUUGGUUUGGAAGGACCCGGAUAGAGCUUGGGUUGAAUUGGGGCAUCCGUGCGAUGAAGAGGACAUGACGCUUUUUUAUGACUGCACUGCCAUCACCGUUGGUAACGGGCAAAAGGCCUCUUUCUGGCAUUCCCCUUGUCUUGGGGGUCGUAAGCCAAACGACAUCGCUCCCUCCAUUUUUGCAAUUUCCAAACAUGAGAAGGACACUGUUCAUAAGGCUUUGGAUCUCAACAGGUGGAUUGCCAACAUCAACAUGAAUUCUGGGCUCACGGUUCAACACUUCCUUGAAUACUAUGAGCUUUGGGUCAGAUUACAGGAGGUCUUUCUCGAUGAGGAUGUGGACGAUGAGAUCAGUUGGAAGUCUUCGCCUUCCGGUGAAUACUCGGCAUCCUCGGCUUACAACGCUCAACUUGGGGACUCCACUACAUCACAAAUGAAGCCGGCUGUGUGGAACAAUUGGGCGCCGCCAAAGCACAAAUUCUCUGCUUGGCUUAUCAUUUAG